AUUGAACGCUGGCGGAAUGCUUUACACAUGCAAGUCGAACGGCAGCGCGGGGGCAACCCUGGCGGCGAGUGGCGAACGGGUGAGUAAUGCAUCGGAACGUAUCCUGUAAUGGGGGAUAACGUAGCGAAAGUUACGCUAAUACCGCAUACGCUCGAGAGAGGAAAGUGGGGGAUCGCAAGACCUCACGUUAUAGGAGCGGCCGAUGUCCGAUUAGCUAGUUGGUGGGGUAAAGGCCUACCAAGGCGACGAUCGGUAGCUGGUCUGAGAGGAUGAUCAGCCACACUGGGACUGAGACACGGCCCAGACUCCUACGGGAGGCAGCAGUGGGGAAUUUUGGACAAUGGGCGAAAGCCUGAUCCAGCCAUGCCGCGUGCGGGAAGAAGGCC
rnacentral:rRNA from 1 species